rnacentral:rRNA from 1 species
AUGCAACUGGCUAGCCUACGCGGCGAUUGCGCGGGCCUGAUAAAUUCGGCAAACAUUAUCCUGCUGCCAAAAAAGGCAAACACCACCUGGAUUGGGGACUACCGUCCAAUCAGCCUGAUUCAUAGCAUUUCCAAGAUCUUCUCCAAGCUGUUGGCAAACCGUCUAGCUCCGAUGCUCCCUGCGCUAGUCUCC